CAAAACGACUCUCGGCAACGGAUAUCUCGGCUCUCGCAUCGAUGAAGAACGUAGCGAAAUGCGAUACUUGGUGUGAAUUGCAGAAUCCCGUGAAUCAUCGAGUCUUUGAACGCAAGUUGCGCCCGACGCCAUUCGGCCGAGGGCACGUCUGCCUGGGUGUCA
rnacentral:rRNA from 1 species